rnacentral:rRNA from 1 species
GACGAACGCUGGCGGCGUGCUUAACACAUGCAAGUCGAACGGUACGUCCCUGCUUUUUUCGUGUGCUCGAGUGGCAAAAGGGUUAGUAACAGGUGGGUAACCUGCCCUUUAAUUUGGCCUAACUUCAGGAAAAUGGGUCUGAUACCGGUUCGAAUCUCCUGCUACAUUUUAUGGGGUGUAACGUUUCGGGGGAUGGGGAUUGACUCGCGGCUUAUUAGCUUGUUGGUGGGGUAGUGGCUUACCAAGGCUUUGACGGGUAGCCGGCCUGCGAGGGUGACCGGCCACAUUGGGACUGAGAUACGGCCCAGACUCCUACGGGAGGCAGCAGUGGGGAAUAUUGCACAAUGGGCGGAAGCCUGAUGCAGCAACGCCGCGUGCGGGAUGACGGCCUUCGGGUUGUAAACCGCUUUCGCCUGUGACGAAGCGUGAGUGACGGUAAUGGGUAAAGAAGCACCGGCUAACUACGUG